GACGAACGCUGGCGGCGUGCUUAACACAUGCAAGUCGAACGGAAAGGCCCUGCUUUUGUGGGGUGCUCGAGUGGCGAACGGGUGAGUAACACGUGAGUAACCUGCCCUUGACUUUGGGAUAACUUCAGGAAACUGGGGCUAAUACCGGAUAGGAGCUCCUGCUGCAUGGUGGGGGUUGGAAAGUUUCGGCGGUUGGGGAUGGACUCGCGGCUUAUCAGCUUGUUGGUGGGGUAGUGGCUUACCAAGGCUUUGACGGGUAGCCGGCCUGAGAGGGUGACCGGCGACAUUGGGACUGAGAUACGGCCCAGACUCCUACGGGCGGCAGCAGUGGGGAAUAUUGCACAAUGGGCGGAAGCCUGAGGCAGCAACGCCGCGUGCGGGAUGACGGCCUUCGGGUUGUGAACCGCUUUCGCCUGUGACGAAGCGUGAGUGACGGUAAUGGGUAAAGAAGCACCGGCUAACUACGUG
rnacentral:rRNA from 1 species